rnacentral:tRNA from 1 species
GACCGCAUAGCUCAGCGGCAGAGCGCGUCACUAAUAAUGACGUGCAUUCAUUGGGACUGGUUGGUCGUUCGAGCCGGCUCGUAGGGAAUCU